rnacentral:rRNA from 1 species
AUUGAACGCUGGCGGCAUGAUUUACACAUGCAAGUCGAACGGUAACAGGCCGCAAGGUGCUGACGAGUGGCGAACGGGUGAGUAAUGCAUCGGAACGUGCCCAGUCGUGGGGGAUAACUACUCGAAAGAGUAGCUAAUACCGCAUACGAUCUAUGGAUGAAAGCGGGGGACCGUAAGGCCUCGCGCGAUUGGAGCGGCCGAUGUCAGAUUAGGUAGUUGGUGGGGUAAAGGCUCACCAAGCCAACGAUCUGUAGCUGGUCUGAGAGGACGACCAGCCACACUGGGACUGAGACACGGCCCAGACUCCUACGGGAGGCAGCAGUGGGGAAUUUUGGACAAUGGGCGCAAGCCUGAUCCAGCAAUGCCGCGUGCAGGAAGAAGGCCUUCGGGUUGUAAACUGCUUUUGUACGGAACGAAACGGCUCUGGUUAAUACCUGGGGCUAAUGACGGUACCGUAAGAAUAAGCACCGGCUAACUACGUG